CAGUAGCCGCGGUAAUACAGAGGGUGCGAGCGUUAAUCGGAUUUACUGGGCGUAAAGCGUGCGUAGGCGGCUUCUUAAGUCGGAUGUGAAAUCCCUGAGCUUAACUUAGGAAUUGCAUUCGAUACUGGGAAGCUAGAGUAUGGGAGAGGAUGGUAGAAUUCCAGGUGUAGCGGUGAAAUGCGUAGAGAUCUGGAGGAAUACCGAUGGCGAUGGCAGCCAUCUGGCCUAAUACUGACGCUGAGGUACGAAAGCAUGGGGAGCAAACAGGAUUAGAUACCCCUGUAGUCCCUGUCUCUUAUAC
rnacentral:rRNA from 1 species